GGGGGUUAAGCGCAUGCGAGAGCUCUGUGCGCUUUACAGGACCUCUGGAAGCAACUACUCCUGAUUAACCUCGGUGAAGUUAAGGAAAACUUCGUGGCUGAAGAUGUGAAUGAAGAACAAGAUUACUAUCCUCUGCCAGCAGGGAUCAUAGACGGUAUUUCUAUGUAAACGAACAGUCGGGCGAGUCUCAGUGGGAGUUUCCAGAUGGUGAAGAGGAAGAAGAAGAAAGCCAAGCACAAGAAAAUAGAGAUGAGACUCUUGCCAAACAGACCUUGAAAGACAAAACUGGCACUGAUUCAAAUUCAACAGAAUCCUCUGAAACUUCCACAGGUUCUCUUUGUAAAGAAUCCUUUUCUGGUCAAGUUUCUUCUUCAUCACUCAUGCCACUUACUCCAUUCUGGACCCUCCUUCAGUCAAAUGUUCCUGUGCUUCAACCUCCAUUACCCUUGGAAAUGCCACCACCCCCACCUCCACCUCCAGAAUCACCUCCACCCCCUCCUCCACCACCUCCUCCUGCGGAAGAUGGUGAGAUCCAGGAGGUAGAGAUGGAGGAUGAGGGAAGUGAGGAGCCCCCUGCCCCAGGAACAGAGGAAGAUACCCCUUUG
rnacentral:lncRNA from 1 species